rnacentral:rRNA from 1 species
UAGGGAAUCUUCGGCAAUGGACGGAAGUCUGACCGAGCAACGCCGCGUGAGUGAAGAAGGUUUUCGGAUCGUAAAGCUCUGUUGUAAGAGAAGAACGAGUGUGAGAGUGGAAAGUUCACACUGUGACGGUAUCUUACCAGAAAGGGACGGCUAACUACGUGCCAGCAGCCGCGGUAAUACGUAGGUCCCGAGCGUUGUCCGGAUUUAUUGGGCGUAAAGCGAGCGCAGGCGGUUAAAUAAGUCUGAAGUUAAAGGCUGUGGCUUAACCAUAGUACGCUUUGGAAACUGUUUAACUUGAGUGCAAGAGGGGAGAGUGGAAUUCCAUGUGUAGCGGUGAAAUGCGUAGAUAUAUGGAGGAACACCGGUGGCGAAAGCGGCUCUCUGGCUUGUAACUGACGCUGAGGCUCGAAAGCGUGGGGAGCAAACAGGAUUAGAUACCCUGGUAGUCCACGCCGUAAACGAUGAGUGCUAGGUGUUAGACCCUUUCCGGGGUUUAGUGCCGCAGCUAACGCAUUAAGCACUCCGCCUGGGGAGUACGACCGCAAGGUUG